AACGAACGCUGGCGGCGUGCCUAACACAUGCAAGUCGAGCGCGAAUAGGGGCAACCCUUAGUAGAGCGGCGCACGGGUGCGUAACACGUGGGUAAUCUGCCUGGAAGCCUGGGAUAACUAGCCGAAAGGUUAGCUAAUACCAGAUAAGACCACGGGCCCUUCGGGGCCUGAGGGAAAAGGUGGUCUCUGUAUACAAGCUAUCACUUCCAGAUGAGCCCGCGGCCCAUCAGCUAGUUGGCGGGGUAAUGGCCCACAAAGGCAACGACGGGUAGCUGGUCUGAGAGGACGAUCAGCCACACUGGAACUGAGACACGGUCCAGACUCCUACGGGAGGCAGCAGUGGGGAAUUUUGCGCAAUGGGCGAAAGCCUGACGCAGCAACGCCGCGUGUGUGAUGAAGGUCUUCGGAUUGUAAAGCACUUUCGACCGGGACGAAAACCGGCAGCCUAACACGCUGUCGUCUGACGGUACCGGGAGAAGAAGCACCGGCUAACUCUGUGCCAGCCGCCGCCGUAA
rnacentral:rRNA from 1 species